rnacentral:lncRNA from 1 species
UGCCUUUCCACGAUGUGGAAGCUUUGUUCUUAGCAAUAAAUCUUGCUGCUGCUUAUUCUUUGGGUCUGCACUACCUUUAUGACUGUAACACUCACCGCGAAGGUCUGCAGCUUCACUCCUGCAGUCAGCGAGACCAGCAACCCACCGGGAGGAGCAAAGCGUGCCAGAAGUGUGCCACGUUUAAGAGCUGUAACACUCACUGCGAAAGUCUGCGGCUUCAUUCCUGAAGUCAGCAAGACCAUGAACCCACCAGGAGGAAGGAACAACUCUGCACGUGCCAUCUUUGAGAGCUGUAACAUUCACUGAGAAGGUCUGCAGCUUCACUCCUGAAGUCAGCAAGACCAAGGACCCAUCAGAAGAAAAAAACUUGGGACACAUCUGAACAUCUGAAGGAACAAACUCCCGACACACCAUCUUUAAGAACUGUAACACUCACCACGAGGGUCCGCGGCUUCAUUCUUGAAGUCAGCGAGACCAAGAACCCACGGAAGGAACCAAUUCCGGACACAAGAGGUAGAUUUAGAGAUUUUUUUUAUUUGCAAUUGGUUAAGGAAGUAAGACUUUGUAUAAAACCUUGAGGCAAGCAGAAAGGAAUGUUAAGGUUUGGCCUGUGGGCAUGACUCUCCAGGCCUCUCAAAAAGAAAUUGCAACAGAGGACAGUAGUCAGAAUCUAAGUCCUCAGUUUUUGCUUAUCUCUGGUCUUUGUGUCAGUGGUCAGAAUUUUUCAUCUGGUGGAGGUGUGGGGGUCCUGGUUUCUGAAAAACAACUCAGGGACAUAUAUCCAGAUGUUAUCUUUAGCUUUUAUAGGGAACCAAACAUCUUGUGAAUCUGGCUUCCUUGGGUGGCUAUUGUUUACAUUAUUAUUCUUUUUGUUUAGUGGGUUCUUUAUUUGCUUUUUAAAUUGCUAGUUGGCCGGCUAUCUAGGUGCUUAGAAUUUGUGUUGAGGGGAUCAGAGAGGAGCCCGACAGGCCCAUAAGAGGGGUCCCUGUUCCAUCUCAUCUCUAGUGCCUAGCAUAGCACCUGGCACAAAAAACCACUCAAAGAUUAUUUAAUGAAUGAAAAAAAGAGUGAUUUUAUAGCUAUCUAAUACUGUAAUCUACAGGCUUUUGCAGGAAUUCGGCUGUGUGUGAUGUGAGUAGCAGAAAUCAGGAAAAACGGUUUUCAACGCAUCUUUCUACUUUACCGCUUCUUAACUCUGAGUCCCUGUCUUCAAGGAAAUAUUUUCUAUUGAGGCAGUCCAAGAAAAGGCAUUUUCUCUAGUCUUUUGACUUCAUAAUCCAGUAUCAGUUCCUCAUCUGUGAAAUGGGAAUACGUUCUCACUGCCUCAUGACUGGAGCUGUACUAGCAGAUCUCCUGAGAGCCAUUCCUGUUCCAAUAUAUAAUAGUAUGACCCUGUCUAGGGGAGGCUGGUUCCCCCCACUGGCAAAUUUGAAACUUAAGUAGCCUACUACAGAGGCUAAUUGCACAGGAAAUGUAAUUCCCAGAUCAUCAACUUCCUCCCUUCUCAUGUUUCUGCUACUAGGCUGCCAUUAACACUUAGCUUGAAAAUGGCCUAAUAGUAUCAAGAAAGAAAAGAGAACAAGAAGAAACCGAAUACCUGAAACACCCGUAAUCUGGAUCAUGUGCUAUCAAAAAGGGAUAGUUGAUGUUGCUCACCAGAGAGCAGGCGUGAAUUGGAGUCAUUGCCACACAACCUGAUGGGUAAAAUUAACCAUCUCUCUUGCCACGAAUCCCUCUCCACAGGAGAGAGAAGACUCAUCGGUCUCCUACUUAGAUUCAUAAAACAGUAGAGCUGGAGGGGACAUUAGCAGUUCUCAUGUCCAAGCAUGAAUGUUCGCAUUUGCAGAAGCGAGCCAGGCUCUCAGGACACCAUCCCGGGUCUCCACACUUGCAGCUCAGAGCAUUGCCACAGCACCAGCACAGAUUCUAAAGCACCAUCCUCAGAGAUGUGACUGGGAUGAUCAGAAAUACGGCCCUGAGUGUCACACUUUUUAACAAGUUUGCCAGAAGAUUCUUUGAGAAUCACCUCUUUACUAGGUGAAUGUCUUCUUCAUUUUCCCUCAAGCUCCAUGAGGUCAAGGACCAUAUCUACUUUGCUCAUCAUUGAAUUCCCAGUGCCUUCAAAGCACAGUAUUUAGCAAAUGGAAGGUACUCAACAAAUAUCUGUCAAAGGAAGGAAAGAGGAGGAAGUUACAGUCAUAUUCAAAACUAAAAACAUACACACAUAGAAGGUGAAGAAGCAAAGCAGGGAAUUAAAUAACUGCUUGAACGGUUGAAUUCACCAAGUAACAGAGCAACAGUUCCAGGAUAUGAGAAAUAAAUCUGUGUGUUCCAACGCCAUUGAAGAAGGCACUUGGAAAUAAGUGACUUUUAAAAACUAUAGAAUUUAGGGGGGAGAAGUAGAGGAGAGAUGGAAUUUCUGGUAGAGAAAACUUUGUGAAUAAAGGCAUAGAAGUAAAUGAGUGGUGAAUGAGGUGCGAAGAGCUUUUCAUCUUACUCCAAAGUAUGCAAAUAAAGAGAGCCAUCCUGCAGCUCUAGCCCCAUCCCUUAAAUCCAGACCACUCUCCUUCUCCACUACCCUGUGCCAUGCAGCCCCCGGGCAGCUGCCGUGAUGGAGCAUCCCACCCAGGCUGAGAGCCCCACGACUCCAGCGUUCUCACCGGUGCUUGGCGAGGCCCUGGUGCUUAAUGGAGGUCCCAGGCCUGGGGCAUGCCGCAAAUGGGCUUCAAAGAGAGCAUCACGGGUCUUCUCAGCACCGCGCUCACCGGAGACAGCAAAUUACAAGCUGAAAAUUCACUACGUUUGUGAAAACCCUGAAUUUAUUUAGACAAAAGCAGAUGGAUAAUCUUGUUACAUUUCAGCACACCACACUUUAUUCAGAGGAAAUGAAACAACGCAUUACGCGUUCCUUUCUUUCCAUCUGCUCUCCCUUCCCUAAGUUCAGGUUUAUUAUUAAUAAAAUGAACUUAUCCUGCCUCCCUUUCCAUUCCAUUAGCCUUUACUCCUAAUUAAGUUUUGCUCACGUUGUCCUUUUCAGUGUCUCAGCAACUCUUUUUUCAACAUAGCUAUUUUCCCCCAGACCUCAAAUCAUUUCUACAGAUGAACUGCUGCCACCAGGAAUAUAAAAUGUCUUUAUCAAAUUAUAAUUUUUCUCAAAUGUUAAGAAAUUAUCUAGGCCCUUCUGUUCCUCCAAAGCAGGUCUGACUUGAAGGACAGAUUCUGCAGAGGAUUAGAAUCAACUCUUGACUUGAAUUUUUGGGAGGAGGAGGCAGGAGUCAUCUUCCUCUGAUUCCAAGCAGCUUGACCUUGGUUAGUUCACUAUUAGCCGGAUUAUUCACUUUCCCACUGCCCUCCAUCCACCACUGGUUUGUUUAUUUCCUUUCCCAAAACAAAUGUAAUGAAUGGGUACAGAAAGUGUCUCGAGAAAAACCCACUCUAAAAUUAGCUGGGC